GACGAACGCUGGCGGCGUGCCUAAUACAUGCAAGUAGAACGCUGAAGAGAGGAGCUUGCUCUUCUUGGAUGAGUUGCGAACGGGUGAGUAACGCGUAGGUAACCUGCCUUGUAGCGGGGGAUAACUAUUGGAAACGAUAGCUAAUACCGCAUAACAAUGGAUGACACAUGUCAUUUAUUUGAAAGGGGCAAUUGCUCCACUACAAGAUGGACCUGCGUUGUAUUAGCUAGUAGGUGAGGUAAUGGCUCACCUAGGCGACGAUACAUAGCCGACCUGGGAGGGUGAUCGGCCACACUGGGACUGAGACACGGCCCAGACUCCUACGGGAGGCAGCAGUAGGGAAUCUUCGGCAAUGGGGGCAACCCUGACCGAGCAACGCCGCGUGAGGGAAGAAGGUUUUCGGAUCGUAAAGCUCUGUUGUAAGUCAAGAACGGGUGUGAGAGUGGAAAGUUCACACUGUGACGGUAGCUUACCAGAAAGGGACGGCUAACUACGUG
rnacentral:rRNA from 1 species